AGAAUCACCAAUUCACCAUCCAUGACUUGGACUGUGGGAAGGAGCUGGAGUACCAGGAGGAAACCCACGCAAGCACAGGGAGAACAUGCAAACUGCACACAAAAAGGCCAACCAGCAACAUAUCCUUCAUAAAAAGGUGUUCAACAAAGCAACAGAGAUGGAAGACAGAGCAAGAAAUAAUGGAGAAGCACUGAUUGGCUGCAGAAGGGUUACUGGCAUGUGCAUGAAAAGAAGAGAAGUUGGAGCAUGGAGGCUGAUGAUAUGACCGACGUGAGCAUUCCUGAAACAGCAAACGAUAUUUGAGCUUUUCCACUGGAUUGGUGAAAGACUGGAUCAGCUGCCCAGCUGUGAUUAUGUUGCUAGCUGUAUGUGACAUUUACCUGAACAUCAGCCAGCAGCAGAAUAGGUAAACAGCCUAAAAAAGAGUCUCAUCACAAAGAGCUUUCAGGAAAAUGUAGUUA